AUAUGUAUAUUAAUUUAUUAACUUAUUGAAAAAAUUAAUAUUACUUAUAUUAAUAUAUUAUAAUUUA
rnacentral:tRNA from 1 species